AACACAUGCAAGUCGAGNGGGCAUCACGAGGUAGCAAUACUUUGGUGGCGACCGGCGCACGGGUGCGUAACGCGUAUGUAACCUACCUAUAACAGGGGCAUAACACUGAGAAAUUGGUACUAAUUCCCCAUAAUAUUCGGAGAGGCAUCUCUCCGGGUUGAAAACUCCGGUGGUUAUAGAUGGACAUGCGUUGUAUUAGCUAGUUGGUGAGGUAACGGCUCACCAAGGCAACGAUACAUAGGGGGACUGAGAGGUUAACCCCCCACACUGGUACUGAGACACGGACCAGACUCCUACGGGAGGCAGCAGUGAGGAAUAUUGGUCAAUGGACGCAAGUCUGAACCAGCCAUGCCGCGUGCAGGAAGACGGCUCUAUGAGUUGUAAACUGCUUUUGUACGAGGGUAAACUCACCUACGUGUAGGUGACUGAAAGUAUCGUACGAAUAAGGAUCGGCUAACUCCGUGCCAGCAGCCGCGGUAAUACGGAGGAUUCAAGCGUUAUCCGGAUUUAUUGGGUUUAAAGGGUGCGUAGGCGGUUUGAUAAGUUAGAGGUGAAAUCCCGGGGCUUAACUCCGGAACUGCCUCUAAUACUGUUAGACUAG
rnacentral:rRNA from 1 species